rnacentral:rRNA from 1 species
GUCUAUGGCCACACCCCCCUGAACACGCCCGAUGUCAUCUGAUCUCGGAAGCUAAGCAGGGUCGGGCCUGGUUUAGUACUUGGAUGGGAGACCACCUAGGAAGACCAGGUGCUGUAGGCG